rnacentral:rRNA from 1 species
CGGGUGAGUAACGCGUGAGGAACCUGCCUCAAAGAGGGGGACAACAGUUGGGAACGACUGCUAAUACCGCAUAAGCCCACGGCUCGGCAUCGAGCAGAGGGAAAAGGAGCAAUCCGCUUUGAGAUGGCCUCGCGUCCGAUUAGCUAGUUGGUGAGGUAACGGCCCACCAAGGCGACGAUCGGUAGCCGGACUGAGAGGUUGAACGGCCACAUUGGGACUGAGACACGGCCCAG